GUCUAUGGCCAUGCCACCCUGAACAAGCCCCAUCCCGUCUGAUCUCGAAAGCUAAGCAGGGUUGGGCCUGGUUAGUACUUGGAUGGGAGACCACCUAGGAAGACCAGGUACUGUAGGUA
rnacentral:rRNA from 1 species